UAUAUGUAUUGGGAUUCUCUCCAGACCAUCAUGUGCAAUAAAUAAACAGUGAAGAACAGGUGGAAAUAUUAACAGAUUUUUAAUAAAUUUCCUUUUAUAAUUUUAGACUUAAGAUUCAAUGCAUACAUAUUCUUGUCAAUAAUUCCUGUAGUGCACUGGGUAGAGGUUUUGGGUUCGAUCCCAGAAAUUGCACAUAUGCUAUAACAUGUAUAGCUUGAACACACUGUGACGUGCUUUGGAUGAAAGUGUUUGCCAAAUGCAAAAUUAGUGCCUUUCAACAUCAGAUUGUCAUGCUAUACGACUCGUUACCACGUGCCUUGUGACAACAUGCCCCGGCGGCACCUACCUGUAUUGUAAGAGCGCGAUGUGACUCGUGCAUUGCUCAUGAGAGCGGGUGGGGAGUCAGAAAGAGCGUGACAACGAGCAUCUUUAUAACAACACAUAAAAUCACACAGACCCGGACCUUUAUCGGUAUGAAUGACAUUGACACAUCAUCAGGUAAGACCUUUACGCAUUAACACCACCGCAUAACACUGUUGUACAAUGGAGAGCGCGGCAACCUUGAGAAAUGAUGCUGGAUGAUCAUAUCUUAUGCAACAGAGAUCAUCAAUGUGCAUUGCUUUUUUAGCAACAUGCAUACCUAAAGGUGUUGUCAAAAAGCGCUAAAGGCAAUUCAAUGCGUAAUUCAAAAACAGCUAUUUGAUACAGUGUUUAAAUUUAACACCCUCGUUUAAAUUAGACUGCCUGUAAUUGUUGCGUUCUCGGUAAUGCUAAAAAUGGCUCACGGGUAAUAUCAUUCAUUUAGGGUUUAUUUUAAUAGUCGACUUGGCAAAUUAUAAUAUGUUUUAAAAACACGCGCGUCGCAGCUGUACAAAUUCAACUGGUAGAAAAAAAAUUAAGGAUGAUAACGGGUCAUGUUGUCACACUGAUUGGGGACACUGUUUAACAUAAAGAUUCUUUCUCUUUCUGUAUGGUUUCAAUAAGAACCUUUACAUACAAACAACCUUGAAAUAUGAUAAUUUUUAAAGACCUUUGACUGAUGAGUUCUUUGGAGAUCCAAAAAUGGCUCAUUCAUGGCACCACCCAAAACAUCCUUUAAUUUUGUGUAAGUUAAUAAAAGUGUACGUUGAUGUUAUGCAAAAAUGGCUGUAAAAUAUUCUUCGAUAUCAAACAUAUAAAUGUUGCAAAAUUAUUGGCAUAAAAAGAUGCAACAAAAGUUUCUUUACAGCGAUGCCAUAGAAGAACCAUUUUUGGUUCAGUCAAACAAUCAUUUUCUCUCUUACUUUUUACAGUAUAGUCUUACCUUUCUCUUCUACAAAGACAAUUUUGUGAAACAGAAAGGUUCUUCGGAUGUUAAAGGUCCACUGUGUAGAUUUUUAGCAGCAUCUAGUGGUAAGACUGUAAAUUGCAACUCCACAGCUCCCCCCUUUUUUUUGAAACACAUAAAGAAGCUACGGUAGCCGCCACAGGACAAACACGUCAAUGUAUGAGACAAUUUUGUGUAAACAAAACGCGAAAUGGCACAAUGCACCUUUAAAGGCUCUUUCAAAAAAUGCUACAAAAUGCUGUAGUUCCAUAAAGAGUGUAUGAAUUCAAAUGAGUAAAAUAUAUUUGAAGUAUAUAAGUGCUGAUAUUUUACCAGGUAUGCACUCCGAAGACUGGAGCACAAAUCAACCGGGUCAACAGAGGGCUGUGAUCACUAAUCUCAGCUUUAAUCAGCUAUCAGAGGAGAACCGAAGACAGAGAAAGGAACUUCGAAGUCCUAAUGGCUCAAAGGAAUUCAUUCCUGAUGAUCGUAACCAUGGCAUCUACUUUGCCAUGCUAUUGGCUGGUGUCGGCUUUCAACUGCCGUACAACAGCUUCAUCACAGAUGUGGACUAUCUGCGCCGCAAAUUUACAAGGGUCCAUAUUGUGUUCCAUAUCAGUUUGACGUAUAUACUGGUGGGUUUGAGUUCUGUCAUUGUGAACAACAUGCUGGUGGAGAAACUGAGUUUGCACACGCGGAUCUGUGUUGGAUAUCUCUUUGCUUUGGGACCUUUGGUGUUUGUGAGCAUAUUUGAUGUUUGGUUGGAGCUGUUUGACUCUGAGCAGUCAUUUGUUCUCACUUUGGUCUCAGUUGCCUUUGUUGCAUUUGGAUGCACAGUGCAACAGUCCAGCUUCUAUGGAUACACAGGGAUGCUACCCAAGAGGUACACACAGGGCGUGAUGACUGGAGAGAGCAUCGCAGGAGUUAUUGUCUCGCUGAGUCGGAUUUUUACGAAGCUUCUGGUGGCAGACGAGAAGAACAUCAUCAUCUUAUUCCUCUUUUCCGUCUCAAUAGAGACUCUCUGUUUUCUGUUGCACGUGGUGGUGCGGCGAACCAGAUUUGUGCGUUAUCACACGGACAGAGCUCAACAUAGCCACACCAGCUUCACGGGAGAGAUUCAUGAUUCUCCUGCUCGAAAUCACGUUGACAAUCAGAGACAUUAUGACAGCAGUGCAGAGGAAGAGGAUGGAACGGUGGUGUCAAGCGCAGUUGAUGAUGCUGAUGGAGUUCAUCUUGACAACAGUUUCCAUGGUGAUGGAACAUACGUCAAAUUUGAUGUACCUAAACCGGACACCAGAACGACAUGGAUUAGUCUCAAGGAGCUGCUGGGUCGUAGGUGUGCUGUUGCCAGACGGAUUUGGGCUCAUAUGCUAUCAAUAACAAUGACAUAUUUCAUCACUCUGUGCCUCUUCCCUGGUCUGGAGUCAGAGUUACACAACGGUAUCCUGGGAGAAUGGUUGCCAAUUCUCACCAUGGCUCUGUUUAAUAUGGCUGACUUUGUGGGCAAGAUCUUGGCCGCUUGUCCGUGUGAGUGGAGUGGGGUUCAGCUGUUGGUUGGUUCAUGUUUGCGGAUUCUCCUCUUGCCGCUGUGUAUAAUGUGUGUGUCACCCUAUCAGCCUCCCUUACUGACGCACCCAGCUUGGCCUUGUAGUUUCUCUUUAUUGCUGGGUGUCAGUAACGGAUACCUUGGAUCUGUGGCAAUGAUACAGGCAGCUGGACACGUGCCACUUCAACUGCGAGAAGUAGCAGGGAACACCAUGACUGUAUCCUACAUGGCUGGACUGAUGCUCGGGUCUGUAGUGUCCUAUUCAACGCACAUCCUAAAGACACACACCUGUCUCGUUGUGAGAAUAGAUGAUACGCUUACAUAACAGAGAUACAUGCCUGGCCACUGAAUGCCAUCUUAAAGAUUCUCUAGUAAUGUUAGGAGAGACACUAUCCCUGCUGAAAAGAGCAGACCUGAAUUUCCCAUCUAGGAUCAGUUUGUACGGAUUGGUGCUGUUCACCAGGUUUAUGCAUUUUAUUGGAAUUCAGAUCAACAAUGUAUCCUGACGUCAGACCAGCUGUUGGAUCCUGACAUCGGAUCAAUGUCUGAUUUUGACAUCAGGCCAACAUUGGAUUUGGACGUCAAUACCCAAUUUUGAGCAGAUGUCAAGCCGCGCCACAAGACAUCUAUAUCACCCACCGAAUCUUGCAGAGACGGCGAGAGUGAGCAGUAGCAAAUUUUGGUAAGUAUUCUGAUUAAUAAUCUCCCUUGACUUUAUGCCUCCACGUCCACCCGAUUGCCUCAUAGACAGUAAAAGAUUGCCUAUGAGCUUCUCCUCCUGUCCAUACGGUAAUUUCUUUGCUGUGCGACAGAGAGUCGCAGGUUAUGACGCAAUCGUUAGCCUAUUUUUACAAAAACUGCUUCUACUGGGCCAUAACGUAAGAUACAAGGUAAUGGAGCCUUUUAUACAUUUUCGUGUUUCUUUACAAAUAAUGAAUGGACAAAUUGAGUCUUUAAACCCCUCAGAUGUAAAGUUAAGCGCUGUCAAAGUGACCCCAAAAUGAAUGGGAGUCAAUGGAAUGCUAACAGCAGGUGGGGGUUCGCUAAGCAAUGGCGGUGUCAUGAGCAAUUCAGUCCCCCCUAGCAAUUUGACAGUGGCGCCCGGGGAAGCUUCAAUAAAAUAUGAAACCCUGCCCCCCUGGUUUCAAGCGCCAAGACCUCUGCUUCUUCUCCCAAGUUGCAUCGACACAUUACUGCCACGAGUGCCACCAACUGUUUUGGGGUGGAAUUGCAGCUGUAAUCAUUGUGACUAAUUUCUCCGGUUGCUUUUCUCGUCGAUGAUUGAUGGAACGGGGGCCAUUCAAAUUUAAGCAGGGGGCCAGGGCCCCUGUGGCCCCGCCUCUAGAACUGCCCCUGUGUCUAGUGCAAUUUUGUUUCUAAUGCUUUCAAUAAAAGCCUGUUUGCAAACUGUGCAUUACCCUGCAAUAUCAUCAGGAUAAAUUAUAAACAACGUGUGUUUUUGAUGUGCAACAUAAAAUCCUUUGUUGAAGAUUUUGACCAAAGGGGGACUUGUUGAGGACAUUGACAUGGGACUUAUAGAUAAACCGUAAUCAGAAAUGAAUUGGGAUUCUCUCCAGACCAUCAUGUGCAAUAAAUAAACAGUGAGGAACAGGUGGAACUAUUAACAGAUUUUAAAUAGAUUUCCUUUUAUAAUUUUAGACUUAAGAUUCAAUGCUUUCAUACAUAUUAUUGUCAAGAAUUCCUGUAGUGCACUGGGUAGAGGUUUUGGGUUCGAUCCCAGAAAUUGCACAUACUGCUAUAACAUGUAUAGCUUGAACACACUGUGACGUGCUUUGGAUGAAAGUGUUUGCCAAAUGCAAAAUUAGUGUCUUUCAACAUCAGAUUUUUAUGCUAUACGACUCGUUACCACGUGCCUUGUGACAACAUGCCCCGGCGGCACCUACCUGUAUUGUAAGAGCGCGAUGUGACUCGUGCAUUGCUCAUGAGAGCUGGUGGGGAGUCAGAAAGAGCGUGACAACGAGCAUCUUUAAAUAACAACACAUAAAAUCACACAGACCCGGACCUGUAUCGGUGUGAAUUACAUUGACACAUCAUCAGGUAAGACCUUUACGCAUUAACACCACCGCAUAACACUUAUGGACAAUGGAGAGCGCGGCAACCUUGAGAAAUGAUGCUGGAUGAUCAUAUCUUAUGCAACAGAGAUUAUCAAUGUGCAUUGCUUUUUUGGCAACAUGCAUACCUAAAGGUGUUGUCAAAAAGCGCUAUAGGCAAUUCAAUGCGUAAUUCAAAAACAGCUAUUUGAUACAGUGUUUCAAUUUAACACCCUCGUUUAAUUUAGACUGCCUGUAAUUGUUGCGUUCUCGGUAAUGCUAAAAAUGGCUCACGGGUAACAUCAUUCAUUUAGGGUUAAUUUUAAUAGUCGACUUGGCAAAAAUGAAGGAUGAUAACGGGGCAUGUUGUCACACUGAUUGGGGACACUGUUUAACAUAAAGGUUCUUUCUCUUUCUGUAUGGUUUCAAUAAGAACCUUUACAUACAAACAACCUUUCUGUAGGUUAUACCAGACAAUAAAAAGGUGAGAAAGAAAUAUGAUCCUUAUAAAGACCUUUGACUGAUGAUGAGUUCUUUGGAGAUCAAAAAAUGGCUCAUUCAUGGCACCACCCCAAAAAUCCUUUAACACUUUAAUUUUGUGUAAGUUAAUAAAUGUGUACAUUUUGAUGUUUUGCAAAAAAUGAUAAAAGCAAUGUCAGUGUACUUAAUGGGCACUAUUGAAAACUGGUGAGCAAAAAUGGCUUUAAAAUAUUCUUGGAUAUCAAACAUAAGUUGCAAAAUUAUUGGCAUAAAAAGAUGCAACAAAAGUUUCUUUACAGCAAUGCCAUAGAAGAACCAUUUUUUGGUUCAGUCAAACAAUCAUUUUCUCUCUUACUUUUUACAGUAUAGUCUUACCUUUCUCAAUUUUGUGAAACAGAAAGGUUCUUCGGAUGUUAAAGGUCCACUGUGUAGAUUUUAAGCAGCAUCUAGUGGUAAGACUGUAAAUUGCAACCAAUGGCUCACUCCACAGCUCCCCCCUUUCUUUUGAAACACAUAAAGAAGCUACGGUAGCCGCCACAGGACAAACACGUCAAUGUAUGAGACAAUGUUGUAAACAAAACGCGAAAUGGCACAAUGCACCUUUAAAGGCUAUUUCAAAAAAUGCUACAAAAUGCUGUGGUUCCAUAAAGAGUGUAUGAAUUCAAAUUAGCAAAAAAUAUUUGAAGUAUAUAAGUGCUGAUA